rnacentral:rRNA from 1 species
AUACGGAGGAUCCGAGCGUUAUCCGGAUUUAUUGGGUUUAAAGGGAGCGUAGGCGGACGCUUAAGUCAGUUGUGAAAGUUUGCGGCUCAACCGUAAAAUUGCAGUUGAUACUGGGUGUCUUGAGUACAGUAGAGGCAGGCGGAAUUCCUGGUGUAGCGGGGGAAUGCUUAGAUAUCACGAAGAACUCCGAUCGCGAAGGCAGCUCACCGGGCCGGAACUGACACUGAUGCUCGAAAGUGCGGGUAUCAAACAGGAUUAGAUACCCUGGUAGUCCGCACAGUAAACGAUGAAUACUCGCUGUUUGCGAUACACGGUAAGCGGCCAAGCGAAAGCGUUAAGUAUUCCACCUGGGGAGUACGCCGGCAACGGUGAAACUUAAAGGAAUUGACGGGG